UACGGAGGGGGCUAGCGGUGUUCGGAAUUACUGGGCGUAAAGCGCACGUAGGCGGAUAUUUAAGUCAGGGGUGAAAUCCCGGGGCUCAACCCCGGAACUGCCUUUGAUACUGGGUAUCUGGAGGUCGAGAGAGGCGAGUGGAACUCCGAGUGUAGAGGUGAAAUUCGUAGAUAUUCGGAAGAACACCAGUGGCGAAGGCGGCUCACUGGCCCGGUACUGACGCUGAUGUGCGAAAGCGUGGGGAGCAAACAGG
rnacentral:rRNA from 1 species